UAGAUGUAUGUUUUGAAGUAUUUACAAAUUCUAAAAUAAUUGCAAUCUAAAAUUUAUAAUCAAACAUGUAAAUUUUACCUCGUUCUCUGACAUAGCAUCAUGGAGAUCUUUGCAUGUCCACAACCUACUCCACUUUAUAGGCUCUUUAGGUGAUACUUCCCGAACAAUACACCUUCCCAAAUCCACUAACAAGCUAUGCAUACCUAUGGACCUCCCAUGUCUGGUAAUGAGUGAUUUAUCAAUGAGAACUUGUAUGCUAUCUUCAGGAUGAAAUCCACGGAAAUUUAGAAUUUCCUUCAAAUGUUCUUCGUGAUAAAAAUUGAAGAAGCAAGCAAUAUCCAAAAAUGUUUGUUUGUAUUUUUCUUCCAGUUGAAUAUAACUUAUGCGCAAAAUAUCCAUAAUAUUUUUACUUUUAUUUUCUUUUAGCCCUUCCAAUACACUUUUCCAUUGUGACAAACUUCGGCCAAGCAAAGAUGACCCAAUUGUUUCAAUUGCCAAGGGAUGCCCUUCAACAUGUGAUAGUAUUUCAUCUGCCAACUUUUCAUAAUCGCUCAAAAUAUAAUUAUCUUUGAAAGCAUUUCUACAAAAUAGUUGGAUAGCAUCUUCUCGUAUCAACGGUCGAACUUGAUAAAUAUCAUCCACUCCAUGUAUCUUCAAUAUUUGUUCAUCCCUAGAAACUAUGAUGAUUCUGCUCCCUUUACCUAAGCAUUCUCGCAACAAAUUGUCUCUAUUUCCGCUAAAUAUCCUCAGUUGUUGAACUUGAUCAACGUUGUCAAAAACUAUAAGUGUCUUAGCAUUGUUCAGUUUGGACUGCACCAAACAUGUUCCCUCGAUAACAUUGCAAAUCUCUACAUUUUUCUCAUUUAGAGUCUGAGAAAUUAAUUGCUUUUGUAAGCCCAACGAACGAGAAUCUACAAAUAUUUUGCUUACAUCAUCAAUAAAACAACGAUAAUUAUAUUGAUGACAAAUUCUUUCAUAUAAAGCCCGAGCAAGAGUUGUCUUUCCUAUACCACCCAUCCCACUUAUUCCGACAACUCGAACAUCGUUACGAAGGUCGAAACGCAAAAUAUUUCCUAAGUCUUGAACUCGAUCCUCUAUCCCAACUAGUUCAUCCCUUGGAAAAUUUAAAAUUUUUGGUCUCAAAUUAUUUAUUAUCUCUUGAACAAUUUUUUCAAUCUGUUCAUUCUGUGACCUGAAAAUUUAAAUGAAAUGAAGGCAAAACAUCAUGAACAGAACAUGAAAAGAGUAUAUACAUUUUUAGGAUAAAAUAUUAACGUAAAAAAUUUUAACUUAUUUUCAUUAAAUUAGUAUAUAUUUGGACUCAAUUACCUCUGUUUUUAAAUAAUGACAACGCAAAUCAUAAUUAGCAUAAAGAAAGUCUUAGAAAGCUAUAAGAUAUUGUGAUUAGUCUAUAAGCAAAAAUAGCUAAAAAGAUGCAGAAUACAAUAUAUAUAUAUAUAUAUAUAUAUAUAUAUAUAUAUNAUAAUAUUUUUACUUUUAUUUUCUUUUAGCCCUUCCAAUACACUUUUCCAUUGUGACAAACUUCGGCCAAACAAAGAUGACCCAAUUGUUUCAAUUGCCAAGGGAUGUCCUUCAACAUGUAAUAGUAUCUCACGUGCCAACUUUUCAUAAUCGCUCAGAAUGUAAUUAACUUUGAAAGCAUUUCUACAAAAUAGUUGGAUAGCAUCUUUCCAUAUCAACGGUCGAACUUGAUAAAUAUCAUCCACUCCAUGUAUCUUCAAUAUUUGUUCAUCCCUAGAAACUAUGAUGAUUCUGCUCCCUCCACCUAAGCAUUCUCGUAACAAAUUGUCUCUAUUUCCGCUAAAUAUCCUCAGUUGUUGAACUUCAUCAACGUUGUCAAAAACUAUAAGUGCUUUAGCAUUGUUCAGUUUGGACUGCACCAAACAUGUUCCCUCGAUAACAUUGCAAAUCUUUACAUUUUUCUCAUUUAGAGUCUGAGAAAUUAAUUGCUUUUGUAAACCCAAUGAAUGAGAAUCUAGAAAUAUUUUGCUUACAUCAUCAAUAAAACAUCGAUAAUUAUAUUGAUGACAAAUUCUUUCAUAUAAAGCCCGAGCAAGAGUUGUCUUUCCUAUGCCAUCCAUUCCACUUAUUCCGACAACUCGAACAUCAUUAAGGAGAUCGAAACGCAAAAUAUUUUCUAAGUCUUGAACUCGAUCCUCUAUCCCAACUAGUUCAUCCCUUGGAAGAUUUAAAAUUUUUGGACUCAAAUUAUUUAUUAUCUCUUGAACAAUUUUUUCAAUCUGUUCAUUUUGUGGCCUGAAAAUUUAAAUGAAAUGAAGACAAAAUAUCAUAACAUGAAAAAAGUAUAUACAUUUUUUAGAUAAAAUAAUAACGUAAAAAAUUUUAAGUGUCAAACUAGUAUUUUCAUUAAAUUAGUAUAUAUUUGGACUCAAUUAGCUCUGCUUUUAGAUAAGGCAUAACACAAAUCAUAAUUACCAUAAAGAAAGUCUUAGAAAGCUAUAAGAUAUUGUGAUUAGUCUAUGAGCAAAAAUAGCUAAAAAGAUGCAGAAUACAGUAUAUAUAGGCCACCGCAGUUUAAUUUGUGUAAAGCACUUCCAAAUAUCAAUAAAGCUAGAUUUGUCAUAAAAUCAAUUGAGGUUAGUAAUUAUUGAAUUGAGAGAGAAGAGUGCUCACUUAUUUCCGAUUUCCGAACCAGAGAUAUCGGCCACUUUUCUGAGAGCUUCUUUCCAUCUUUGAACUUCCUCCAUCUUCACCUUAUCUUCUCUGAAUCUAUUUUCGUGUUCUGCAAAUGCUUUCUCAUAACAUCCUUUCUGAUUGCGCACCGUCGUAGGCUCAACAUCAUAAAAGAUAGGUAUAAGAGGUCUUGCUGAAGUUUCAGAGCAAUUAAGUAUCUCUACCAGUUCACGCAAGCACCAAGUGGAAGAAGCAUAGUUCUUUGAUAAGACAACAACAAAAACUUGAGAGUCCCGAAUGGCUUGUAGAAGCUCGGGUGCUAUGAAAUCACCUUUUUUGAUACAUUGGUCAUCUUUGAAGGCAAGAAUGCCUUGUCGAUGGAGAGCUCCAAAGAGAAAACUAGUGAAGUUGUUGCGCGUGUCUUCACCACGGAAGCUGACAAAUACAUCGUAUGCAUUAGAUGAAGAAGAGGUGCGAUGGAUGAUGGCGUCGGAAGCUGGUACGGAAGGUCCGAUAGGAGCUGUUGGGUCAGACACGGUCAUGCAGUCGGACAUGCCGGACAUGAUCCGGUCCGGUUCUUUGACAAACCGGAGGAUACGGCGGAGAAUGUUGAAGACAGGCGAAUACAUCAUUAAGAAAAUCAGAAACGAAAUGUAGUCCCACUGAAUUCGUCGAAGUGAGAGAUAAUUGUUAUUAGGGCCUGACUUUAUGGAGAAAGGAAUUCUAAAGUUAACGCGUUUCACUUUUAUUGUCUCUUUCGGUGAUUUUUUCGUUGAAGCUUCUUACAAAAAUCAUUAACGCGUUUGUUUUUAUUUGGUUAUUUUGUUUUGUCUUUUUGUGAAGAAUGAUGGGAGCCACCAUGUUUGUCCUUCCUCAUACAUUGUCAUAUGCUUUCCAGCUACACAAGAUGUAAUUUCAUAUGUGCCAAUUUAAGGAGUAAGGAUCUUCUUCCUUCACUACACGAGAUACUGAUCUGGAAACAAAACUAAAACAGGGGAUCUCCAUAGUCAUUCUCUAAUCCUAUUUUUAUUUUGGAUCUGUUCUUAUUUUCAUUUCAUACACCUUUCUAUGAUAACCGCUACUAUGUUUUUAUUAUUUUCCUUAUUUUACAUAAGUAUUUAAUAUUAUAAAACAAAAAGAUAAAAAAAAUAAUAAAAAAAGAGAUAAAACAUUAAAAUAACUAAAAUUGGUUUGUUAUGUUUAUUGUCUUUAAUAUUUCUUUUAAUAAUUAAAUAAAUAAAGUUUCUUUAUUUUCUAUUUUAUUUUGAUCAUUUAUAUGUUUUUUUUUCAUUUAAUAAAAUUUAUAGAAUAAAAGAUAUUAAAAAAUGUAAUUUUAUAUGUGCCAAUUGAGGUCUAACAUGUCUUACAGGUUCACAAAUUUCUACCUUUAACAAGAAAGUGGGCCGACAAAGAAGAAGAAAUCCUGUCUUUAACAAUCCACCUCUUAAAAAUUGGAUUUCAUUAAAUAAAUGCAUUUCAUUAAGAAUCCAUCUCACUCUGUCAUAAGAGAAUUUUUGUGAGAAAUUAAAUGUCAUCUUAUUAACCUUGUAUAUAUUUAAACGGUAUGUAGUUAAUUAUUUAAACGUCAUUUACAAAAAUGAUUAUCAUGCGAUUGUACCCAUCAUCUUAAUACUCAUUACGUAAAAUCUAAAUACCAUAUUCAAAUACCAAAGAAAAUAUAUAUCCAAAAAUCUAAAAACAUAAACAUUCUCAUACAAUUGGUCAGUCAAAAUUACGCAAUCCUUAUUCUCCAUCAAGAGUUGAGAUACGUAGGAACAAAGCGAGUCUUUAUCAGGUUCACCUCCCAAACAUCCAAAAUUAUCCAUUAUCAUUUUCAAUCAUAUUUUUCAAACAAAUUUCCAAAUCAUUUUUAAACAUAUUUUUCAAAAGAACUACGUAACCCUACUUUCUAUGAUGUCUGAGAAUAUAUAGGUCAAUCCUUGUCGGGCUUCGUAAAAUUAAAAAAUAUUGUUUUGUUUCCUAUGUCUUUUUGUAUUAUUAUUUUCGGGAAAAAUAAUCAUUUUGAAAACCACAUCAAGUUCGUAAACCAAGCCUUAUUUUUAUGGCUUUUUCGUAGUUUUUUAGGAUAAACUAUGGUGGCGACUCAAAACUCUGAUUUUCGAACUUCUUUAUUAUUUUAAAAGUUUCGCUAAUACUCCGUCGUUAUCCCGGUUGCGACAUCUCCCACAGUUACGGCGAGACUUCGAUGGGUCUUGACCAUCAACGAGGUCAAUGACAACCGUCUCUUCAUCGCCAUUUCCUCUUCAUCGCCAGACCCAAAACAGAGUUUCUUCUUUCUCCCCCACAAUUUCGAUAAGACUCUAAUGGGCCUUUAAUAUCAACAUGCGUAUCACCCCCUCCCCUUCUUUCUCUAUUUUGUUUCUUUCUCGAUUUGUAUCCAUUCUGAGGGUGAUUGAGGCUGAUUGGGUGCAUUCUAAUGGGUUGUNGCUACCAAAUAGAGAUGGUGAAGCUGAUAAUUCCUCGCGACAAUUGGCAUCAUUUCUGAACUGUGGCAAAUUGUGUUUAAUUGUUUGAGAUGAUUAUGUAAUUUGUUGGAUUGUUGGAUGAUUUAUUUGAUUGUGCAAUUCGUUUAUUGGAUUGUUCGAUGAUUUAUUUGAUUGUGAAAUUCGUUUGUUGUAUUGUUGAACUUUAAUUUGUAUGCUUUUAUUAUACACACAAACAUUUUGGACAAAAAAUCCCUAAUUUAGCAUAACACAUUUUAUUUUAUUUAAAUUUUAGUUUUUUAAAACUUAAAAUAAUUAAAUUUCACAUAAUGUAACCUAACUUUGCCACAUGCUUCACAUUUGAAAAGUCAGCAUGUCACCCCACUGUCGUCUUAACGCCAUCUCAUUGCAAUCUUAACGUCGUUAACUCAAAUUGACGACAAUGGUGCAAUUGAAUCAAUUUUACGCCAUGAAGGAUCAAAUCUCAAGACAAGAUUCGUCCAACGGUCAUAUUAUCAUCAAAUCUCAAGAUAAACAUUGUGUAAAUGACUAUAUCAUCAAAGGUGUAUAAAUAGAUGAUCAAGAGAAGAAGAAAGAUAAUGACGAUGAUAGGAAGAAAAAUAGCAUGAAGACAAAUUAUCAUUAGAGUUGAGCAAGAAAUUUUUUUUGAGCUAUUAGAGUUAAUUCCUUUUACACAAGAGUAGAGAGAAAGAGAAGAGCUCAAGGAAAAAGAAAAAAUCUCUCGGGCUUCAUACAAAUUUGCUAAAUUUGGAGCCAUUUCUACAAAUGUUAGAAAUUGAGAAAACAAAACCCAUACAAAUUUGUUUUUCCUUGAAAUAGUCUAGUUCUAAUCUUUAUCUAUAUCAUUUUUCUUCGUAGAAGAUUCAGUUAAACUUUUGAAUUCUGAAAAUUUGAAAAGAAAAAAUAAGGAUUUAAAUAGUUUUUGGGUAACCACGGACCAUAUAGUUUAAGAAAAUAUUUUUUUAAUAAGAAUAGCAUUUAUUUUCUUGAUUUCCGUGAUCAGAAUAACAAAAAUAUGUGUUCGAUUUUAACUAUUUUUAAUAUUUAAAAAAUUAUGAAAUAAUUUUAUCAAUUUUGAAUAAUAUGAAUAAUUUGUAUUUGUAUUAAACAUUUUAUUAAAUAAAUUAUGUUAAAUGGUGAUAGAAUAAUCUAACAAUCAUAAUAGAAUCCAUCAUAAGAAAAUGUUGCAUCCAACUGUUGUUUGAAAACUGCUUCCAUUCCAACACAACUUAUGAUGACCAUUUUUUGUGCAAAAUGCAACCUCCUCAUAGACCCCUGUGAUAUUGCAACAGAAUAAGCAAAAUGCUAGAACGAAUAGAAAGCAACACAAUCCUAUAAAAUGUGAACAUCACAAAGACCAAAGGCGUAAGCAUUUAAACAAAGGGAAUGAAGUGGAAUAAAAUCCAGAGGUUAGCAUGACACAAUAUUAUAUAUAAUAUGACUUUGAUUAAAAUGAAGUUCCUAUAUUAUUACAUAAUAACAUUUUCAGUUCCAAAGUCAAUGACACCAACUUGAAAUCACGACAGCAACAAAAUCACUAGCAUGAGUGGAUACAAACAACCAAAAAAAUGUCGCAUGUUUCCCCUUCAAACCUUAUGUCAAUGAUAAAUUAACUGAUGCUCCAAAGGAGAAAAUUUUGUCUUUUAUAUAGGGGCUAAAUACCUGACUUUCUUGAUCAUAAUGGCAAUGUAUCAACUUUGUACCGAUUAGUAGUAAUAUAUUGACCAUUUUGAUUUACAUAAUAAUUUAUAAUAGUUUAUAAAAUUAAUGAUGUCAAUUUAUAAAUAAGAUCUAUGUACUGAUUAAUCAUUGCCAAUUUCAAUCAAAUAACAUUAGAAAAUAUUAAGAAAAAAAUAAUUACAGUAAAGUGUAAAAAGUCUUACCUUUUAGUGUUAUUGUAGAACCAAAUUGUAUAGUCAUUAGAAACCAAAUUGAACGCUGAAGAGAGAGCUCCUAUUUCUUCAAACUAUGGGAAUUUGAAUGCAGUGCUGCUUCUGUUUCUACUGUGUCUCUCUCUGCUUAAAUACGGUAACUAACCGUUUUCCUCAAUUACGGAAAUCUUGCCCUUCCGACCUGUCAAAUUUGCACAAUGCGUCAUUUUGAAGUUAAUUAGGUCUUCUUCAUUUACCCAGCGAUACUGAAAUUUCUUCACCGUAACAAAAUUCCUAGAAGUCUUAUAACUCAACAAUAAGUCAAUCAUCCUCAAACGGAAAUGAUAAGGAUGAAUACCACGUUCGUCCAUAGAAACCUUUUCAUAAUGUAAGCACAUGUGAUCUCUUCUAAAAUCCAUUGGAAUUUGUUCAUUUUUUAGUUCGUCUAUAGAAACCUUUCCAUAAUGUAAGCACAUGUGAUCUCUUCUAAAAUCCAUUGGAAUNUGAGAGCUUCUUUCCAUCUUUGAACUUCCUCCAUCUUCACCUUAUCUUCUCUGAAUCUAUUUUCGUGUUCUGCAAAUGCUUUCUCAUAACAUCCUUUCUGGUUGCGCACCGUCGUAGGCUCAACAUCAUAAAAUAUAGGUAUAACAGGUCUUACUGAAGUUUGACAGCAAUUAAGUAUCUCUACCAGUUCACGUAAGCACCAAGUGGAGGAAGCAUAGUUCUUUGAUAAGACAACAACGAAAACUUGAGAGCCCUGAAUAGCUUGUAGAAGCUCGGGUGCUAUGAAAUCACCUUUUUUGAUACAUUCGUCAUCUUUGAAGGCAACAAUGCCUUGUCGAUGGAGAGCUCCAAAGAGAAAACUAGUGAAGUUGUUGCGCGUGUCUUCACCACGGAAGCUGACAAAUACAUCGUAUGCAUUAGAUGAAGAAGAGAUGCGAUGGAUGAUGGCGUCGGACGCUGGUACGGAAGGUCCGAUAGGAGCUGUUGGGUCAGACACGGUCAUGCAGUCGGACAUGCCGGACAUGAUCCGGUCCGGUUCUUUGACAAACCGGAGGAUACGGCGGAGAAUGUUGAAGACAGGCGAAUACAUUUAUUCAGGAAAUCAGAAAGCAAACUGAGUCCCACUGAAUUCCUGGAAGUGAGAGAUAAUUGUUAUUAGGGCAAGUAAGGGAGUGGCCUGACUUUAUGGAGAAAGGAAUUCUAAAGUUAACGCGUUGAAUUUUUGCAGUCUCUUUCUGUGAUUUUUUCGUUGAAGCUUCUUACAAAAAUCGUUAACGCGUUUGUUUUUGUUUUGUCUUUUUGUGAAGAAUGAUGGGAGCCACCAUGUUUGUCCUUCCUCAUACAUUGUCAUAUGCUUUUCCGUCAACUUGCCCCGGACAUCAUAAUGACACAUAUUCAAGAAAUCCUUUUUAAAAAGAAGAUCCACAUGCACCCAAACUGAAGGAGUAAGGAAGUGCAUUGAUAGGGGAUCUUCUUCCUUCACUACACGAAAUACUGAUCUGGAAAAAAACUAAAACAGGGGAUCUCCAUAGUCAUUCUCUAAUCCUAUUUUUAUUUUGGAUCUGUUUUUAUUUUCAUUUCAUACACCUUUCUAUGAUAACCGCUCCGAUGUUUUGCUUAUUUUCCUUAUUUUACAUUUUAACUACUGUUGUCCACUCUCAUUUUUAAUAAGUAUUUAAUAUUAUAAAACAAAAAGAUAAAAAAAAUAAUAAAAAAAAGAGAUAAAACAUUAAAAUAACUAAAAUUGGUUUGUUAUGUUUAUUGUCUUUAAUAUUUCUUUUAAUAAUUAAAUAAAUAAAGUUUCUUUAUUUUCUAUUUUAUUUUGAUCAUUUAUAUGUUUUUUUUUCAUUUAAUAAAAUUUAUAGAAUAAAAGAUAUUAAAAAAUGUAAUUUUAUAUGUGCCAAUUGAGGUCUAACAUGUCUUACAGGUUCACAAAUUUCUACCUUUAACAAGAAAGUGGGCCGACAAAGAAGAAGAUAUCCUGUCUUUAAAAAUCCACCUCUUAAAAAUUGGAUUUCAUUAAAUAAAUCGCAUUUAUUUGAGAAUCUAUCUCGCUCUGUCAAAAGAGAAUUUCGGUGGGAAGUUAAAUAUCAUCUCAUUAGCCUUGUAUAUAUUUAAAAGGUCUGUCGUUAAUUAUUUAAACGUCGUUUGCAAAAAUGAUUAUCAUGCGAUUGUACCUAUCAUCUUAAUGCUCAUUACGCAAAAUCAAAAUAUCAUAUCAAAAUACCAAAGAAAAAAUAUAUCCAAAAAUCUAAAAACAUAAACAUUCUCAUACAAUCGGUGAGUCAAAAUUAUGCAAUCCUUGAUUCUCCAUCAAGAGUUGAGAUACGUAGGAGCAAAGCGAGUCUUUAUCAGGUUCACCUCCCAAACAUCCAAAAUUAUCCAUUAUCAUUUUCAAUCAUAUUUUUCAAACAAAUUUCUAAAUCAUUUUCAAACAUAUUUUUCAAAAGAACUACGUAACCCUACUUUCUAUGAUGACUGAGAAUAUAUAGGUCAAUCCUUGUCGGGCUUCGUAAAAUUAAAAAAUAUUGUUUUGUUUCCUAUGUCUUUUUGUAUUAUUAUUUUCAGGAAAAAUAAUCAUUUUGAAAAUCACAUCAAGUUUGUACAUUUAAUUAAAGGUACUGUCUUGGAGAAAACAUUGAAGGGUUUUAAUACCUUCUCUACAUGUAAUCGACUUCCGAACUCAAAACUCUGAUUUCGUAAACCAAGCCUUAUUUUUAUGGCUUUUUCAUAGUUUUUUAGGAUAAACUAUAGUGGCGACUCAAAACUCUGAUUUUCGAACUUCUUUAUUAUUUUAAAAGUUUCGCUAAUACUUCGUCGUUAUCCCGGUUGCGACAUCCCCCACAGUUACGGCGAGACUUCAAUGGGUCUUGACCAUCAACGAGGUCAACGACAACCGUCUCUUCACCGCCAUUUCCUCUUCAUCGCCACACCCAAAACAGAGUUUCUUCUUUCUCCCCCACAAUUUCGAUAAGACUCUGAUGGGCCUUUAAUAUCAACAUGCGUAUCACCCCCUCCCCUUCUUUCUCUAUUUUGUUUCUUUCUCGAUUUGUAUCCAUUCUGAGGGUGAUUGAGGCUGAUUGGGUGCAUUCUAAUGGGUUGUNGCUACCAAAUAGAGAUGGUGAAGCUGAUAAUUCCUCGCGACAAUUGGCAUCAUUUCUGAACUGUGGCAAAUUGUGUUUAAUUGUUUGAGAUGAUUAUGUAAUUUGUUGGAUUGUUGGAUGAUUUAUUUGAUUGUGCAAUUCGUUUAUUGGAUUGUUCGAUGAUUUAUUUGAUUGUGAAAUUCGUUUGUUGUAUUGUUGAACUUUAAUUUGUAUGCUUUUAUUAUACACACAAACAUUUUGGACAAAAAAUCCCUAAUUUAGCAUAACACAUUUUAUUUUAUUUAAAUUUUAGUUUUUUAAAACUUAAAAUAAUUAAAUUUCACAUAAUGUAACCUAACUUUGCCACAUGCUUCACAUUUGAAAAGUCAGCAUGUCACCCCACUGUCGUCUUAACGCCAUCUCAUUGCAAUCUUAACGUCGUUAACUCAAAUUGACGACAAUGGUGCAAUUGAAUCAAUUUUACGCCAUGAAGGAUCAAAUCUCAAGACAAGAUUCGUCCAACGGUCAUAUUAUCAUCAAAUCUCAAGAUAAACAUUGUGUAAAUGACUAUAUCAUCAAAGGUGUAUAAAUAGAUGAUCAAGAGAAGAAGAAAGAUAAUGACGAUGAUAGGAAGAAAAAUAGCAUGAAGACAAAUUAUCAUUAGAGUUGAGCAAGAAAUUUUUUUUGAGCUAUUAGAGUUAAUUCCUUUUACACAAGAGUAGAGAGAAAGAGAAGAGCUCAAGGAAAAAGAAAAAAUCUCUCGGGCUUCAUACAAAUUUGCUAAAUUUGGAGCCAUUUCUACAAAUGUUAGAAAUUGAGAAAACAAAACCCAUACAAAUUUGUUUUUCCUUGAAAUAGUCUAGUUCUAAUCUUUAUCUAUAUCAUUUUUCUUCGUAGAAGAUUCAGUUAAACUUUUGAAUUCUGAAAAUUUGAAAAGAAAAAAUAAGGAUUUAAAUAGCUUUUGGGUAACCAGGGACCAUAUAGUUUAAGAAAAUAUUUUUUUAAUAAGAAUAGCAUUUAUUUUCUUGAUUUCCGUGAUCAGAAUAACAAAAAUAUGUGUUCGAUUUUAACUAUUUUUAAUAUUUAAAAAAUUAUGAAAUAAUUUUAUCAAUUUUGAAUAAUAUGAAUAUAUUUGUAUUUGUAUUAAACAUUUUAUUAAAUAACUUAUGCUAAAUGGUGAUAGAAUAAUCUAACAGUCAUAAUAGAAUCCAUCAUCUUGAUAAAGGGUGGUGAUAUUUUGAAUCCACUAAAUAAAAACUUCUCACUUAACUACUUAAAAUAAUAAUAAUAUUUUAAUCACAGUUAUUUUACUUUUUAAUUUAAAAUUUCAAUAAUAAGUGAAUUGUGAAGUGGUCCUAUUUUAUUUGAAGGAUGUCAAAGUAUUAUUUUUCCUUGACAAAACCAACAGUAAAUACAAUCCAGAAUGCAAACAUGUAACUUUUGGCUCAGAAUCUGUACGUUGUCAUGUAUAUGUAAUUUUGUUUCAUACUGUACAGCUCUUAAGAUUUUCUCUUAGCUUCUUUACCAAAUUAAGUGUUUUAUAUAAUUCAUAUAUGAAUUUAUAGCUUUUGAAAAUCUUAAAAGAGCUCAUUUCAAGUGCAUCUCUUCUUUAUGCUUUUGAAAACCUUUAGUACAUAUCAUACUAGAAGCAUAUUAAAUAAAUUAUCAUAAGAAAAUGUUGCAUCCAACUGUUGCUUGAAAACUGCUUCCAUUCCAACACAACUUAUGAUGACCAUUUUUUGUGCAAAAUGCAACCUCCUCAUAGACCCCUGUGAUAUUACAACACAAUAAGCAAAAUGCUAGAAUGAAUAGAAAGCAACGAAAUCCUAUAAAAUGUGAACAUCACAAAGACCAAAGGCGUAAGCAUUUAAGCAAAGGAAAUUAAGUGGAAUAAAAUCCAGAGGUUAGCAUCAUAUAAUAUUAUAAUAUGACUUUGAUUAAAAUGAAGUUAUUACAUAAUAACAUUUUCAGUUCCAAAGUCAAUGACACCAACUUGAAAUCACGACAGCAACAAAAUCACUAGCAUGAGUGGAUACAAACAACNCAUAAUGUAAGCACAUGUGAUCUCUUCUAAAAUCCAUUGGAAUUUGUUCAUUUUUUAGUUCGUCUAUAGAAACCUUUCCAUAAUGUAAGCACAUGUGAUCUCUUCUAAAAUCCAUUGGAAUAUGUCUAUUGUGUAGACGAAAUAUUACGCAACACAAAACACCAAUGAAAUUAUUGUCAUGCGGAACGGGAGGUGGAUCAACGAUUAGGUUUUUUUCGUCCAGGUAUUCUUGGUCCACGUUCACAAACUCAUUGUUGAACAAGCUCGGUAUUUGACUUCCAGGCAUAAUAGUUACACGAGCUAUCCAUUGGUAUUGGUAGGUCGCCUUGUACCAGCAGAGUUAUUCGUCAGUAGUUAUUCUGAUAAAAGAAAAAUUAAAAUGCAAGAGGAAGGAAAGAGCAUCCACACCUCAAAAAUUUGUAUUGCCCAUGAAAAACUCUUUGUAAUGCACUGUUUAAUCUCAACUAAUUCUGGGCAGCCGAAAAUGAUAAAUCCUGCAACUUUCAAAAACAUUGAUGAAGAUCUCGUGACAGUUCGUGAAGGGAGAUCAGGCAAGUAUUUCAAUCGCUUGCAAUCCUGUAAGUUUAAAUAAUACAGUCUCAAAAGGUCCUUCAGGUUAGGCAAUCUAACAAAAUUGUUUUCCUCUAAAUUUAGGCUCUCUAAGCAACCUAACUUUCCAAUGUAAUCAGGAAUUUGAACUAAGUUACAGAACCUUAGAUUGAGUUCACACAAACAAGAGAGAGGAGAGGAGGGCGACAAACAUCUGAUCAAGUUCUCUGUGUUCAACCAAUUACUACCUAUUAUUGAACAAUAGCUGACAUCCAGAUAUUCAAGAGAUUUCAGGCCCAAUAUAGUAUUAGAUAAGAUUACUAGUUUUUUUGCAGUAUCUCAAAUUCAAAAGAACAAGCUUUCUCAGACUCUCAAUCGAUGGAUUCAGUUUUUGGAGCUGUCCACAUCCUUCAAGAUGUAUCGAUUGAAGAUUUGGGGCCUCUGUUACAUCUGGCAUCUCAACUAAACUUUGGCAAUGCAAGAGAUCCAAACGCUUCAAAUUGGGUAACGACUACAUAGAUGGAAAAAAAAAAUUAAUAAUGACACUUGGGUUUUCUUUAAUUUCUUUUCUCCAUAAAUUAAUCAAAGAAUAAAGGAAUUAAAAAUAAAAAGUUUGUCAUUCAUUUUGUUUAUUUUUAAAAGAAGUACAAAUAAAAAAUUAAUUUACACUACCUUUGUGCCUUCCCAUAAUCGUUGAAUACUACUCCAACGCAGCUUUAACUCAACUAGUUUGUGUGGUUGAAAACUUUGAGGCAAACAUUCAAACGGAUAAUUAUACCAAGUAAGAUAUCCUAGUUCAUUCAAAAGAUGAUUCAGACUUCCCGAAAAGUUAACGUUCGCCUUCACGUUCUCAACAUAAAGCAACUUCAGGUGUUUAAUUUUUGAUAGACCAUCCGCCUUGAUUGUUUUAUCUGUAAAUCAGUUGCAUGAUUCCGUAAAUUUAGAGGCUAUAUAUUAGGCAGUUUCUCAUUCAAUAAAACAGAGGAAUUUCUUCUUUCACACUACAACGUUUACGUACCUGGGAUUUCAACAUCAUCCUCAUCCUCAUCCAGGUGAUAUCUAAGAACUAUUGCCUCAAGGUUUCGAGUUGUCUAUAACAUCGCACAUUGUUAGUGUUAGAUCUGAAGAUAGGAAUAACUCUAAAUGUCCUCUGUUAGAGAAUGAAUUUUAUUAAUGCAAAAGGGUUGGCUUAUAUAAGCCACUAUAUCUAAAUGGCUACCAAAGCGGAAUAAAAAACUCAAUUAUCUCCUAAAUAAUAGGACAAUCUAACAGCUUUUAAUACUGCAGCUUUAUUAACUGACACGUAAAUAUAUUAACUGACACACGUAAAUAAUAACUUAAACUAACAGUUAGAUGCAUGUUUUGAAGUAUUUACAAAUUCUAAAGUAAUUGCAAUCGAAAAUUUAUAAUCAAACAUGUAAAUUUUACCUUGUUCUCUGACAUAGCAUCAUGGAAAUCUUUGUAUGUCCACAGCCUACUCCACUUUCUAGGCACUUUAGGUGAUACUUCCCGAACAAUACACUUCCCCAAAUCCACUAGCAAGCUAUGCAUACGUAUGUACCCUUUGAAAUCUUUGGUAAUGAGUGAUUUAUCAAUGAGAACCUGUAUGCUAUCUUCAGGAUGAAAUCCACGAAAAUUUAGAAUUUCCUUCACAUCUUUUUCAUAAUAAGAAUUGAAGAAGCAAGCAAUAUCCAAAAAUGUUUGUUUGUAUUUUUCUUCCAGUUGAAUAUAACUUAUGCGCAAAAUACCCAUAAUAUUUUUACUUUUAUUUUCUUUUAGCCCUUCCAAUACACUUUUCCAAUGUGACAAACUUCGGCCAAGCAAAGAUGACCCAAUUGUUUCAAUUGCCAAGGGAUGUCCUUCAACAUGUGAUAGUAUCUCACGUGCCAACUUUUCAUAAUCGCUCAAAAUNUAAUUANCUUUGAAAGCAUUUCUACAAAAUAGUUGGAUAGCAUCUUUCCUAUUCAACGGUCGAACUUGAUAAAUAUCAUCCACUCCAUGUAUCUUCAAUAUUUGUUCAUCCCUAGAAACUAUGAUGAUUCUGCUCCCUUUACCUAAGCAUUCUCGCAACAAAUUGUCUCUAUUUCCGCUAAAUAUCCUCAGUUGUUGAACUUCAUCAACGUUGUCAAAAACUAUAAGUGCCUUAGCAUUGUUCAGUUUGGACUGCACCAAACAUGUUCCCUCGAUAACAUUGCAAAUCUCUACAUUUUUCUCAUUUAGAGUCUGAGAAAUUAAUUGCUUUUAUAAGCCCAACGAACGAGAAUCUAGAAAUAUUUUGCUUACAUCAUCAAUAAAACAACGAUAAUUAUAUUGAUGACAAAUUCUUUCAUAUAAAGCCCGAGCAAGAGUUGUCUUUCCUAUGCCACCCAUCCCACUUAUUCCGACAACUCGAACAUCAUUAAGGAGAUCGAAAUGCAAAAUAUUUCCUAAGUCUUGAAGUCGAUCCUCUAUCCCAACUAGUUCAUCCCUAGGAAGAUUUAAAAUUUUUGGUCUCAAAUUAUUUAUUAUCUCUUGAACAAUUUUUUCAAUCUGUUCAUUUUGUGGCCUGAAAAUUUAAAUGAAAUG
rnacentral:lncRNA from 1 species